rfam:Trichobilharzia regenti genome assembly, scaffold: TRE_scaffold0013503
GUACCGAUGAAGAGUCCCAAACUAGAGGGAUGAAACAGCUGUCCAGUAC